rnacentral:rRNA from 1 species
GACGAACGCUGGCGGCGCGCCUAACACAUGCAAGUCGAACGAGCGAGAGAGAGCUUGCUUUCUUGAGCGAGUGGCGAACGGGUGAGUAACGCGUGAGGAACCUGCCUCAAAGAGGGGGACAACAGUUGGAAACGACUGCUAAUACCGCAUAAGCCCACGGUGCCGCAUGGCACAGAGGGAAAAGGAGCAAUCCGCUUUGAGAUGGCCUCGCGUCCGAUUAGCUCGUUGGUGAGGUAACGGCCCACCAAGGCGACGAUCGGUAGCCGGACUGAGAGGUUGAACGGUCACAUUGGGACUGAGACACGGCCCAGACUCCUACGGGAGGCAGCAGUGGGGAAUAUUGCACAAUGGGGGAAACCCUGAUGCAGCGACGCCGCGUGGAGGAAGAAGGUCUUCGGAUUGUAAACUCCUGUUGUUGGGGAAGAUAAUGACGGUACCCAACAAGGAAGUGACGGCUAACUACGUG